rnacentral:rRNA from 1 species
CAGUAGCCGCGGGAAUACGUAGGGUGCGAGCGUUAAUCGGAAUUACUGGGCGUAAAGCGUGCGCAGGCGGUUCGUUAAGACAGAUGUGAAAUCCCCGGGCUUAACCUGGGAACUGCAUUUGUGACUGGCGAGCUAGAGUAUGGCAGAGGGGGGUAGAAUUCCACGUGUAGCAGUGAAAUGCGUAGAGAUGUGGAGGAAUACCGAUGGCGGAGGCAGCCCCCUGGGCCAAUACUGACGCUCAUGCACGAAAGCGUGGGGAGCAAACAGGAUUAGAUACCCGGGUAGUCCCUGUCUCUUAUAC